rnacentral:ncRNA from 1 species
AGAGGUGAAAUUCGUGGACCGUAGUGAGACGCCCAAUAGCGAAAGCAUUUGCCAAGAAUGUCUUCAUUAAUCAAGAACGAAAGUCAGAGGUUCGAAGGCGAUUAGAUACCGCCCUAGUUCUGACCGUAAACGAUGCCAUCUCGCGAUUCGGAGGGUUCAUGCCCUACCGAGGAGCUACCCGGAAACGAAAGUCUUUCGGUUCCGGGGGUAGUAUGGUUGCAAAGCUGAAACUUAAAGAAAUUGACGGAAGGGCACCACAAGGCGUGGAGCUUGCGGCUUAAUUUGACUCAACACGGGAAAACUCACCCGGUCCGGACACUAUUAGGACUGACAGAUUGAAAGCUCUUUCUCGAUUUGGUGGUUGGUGGUGCAUGGCCGUUCUUAGUUGGUGGAGUGAUUUGUCUGGUUUAUUCCGAUAACGAGCGAGACUCUAGCCUGCUAAAUAGUCGACGAAUCUUCGGGUUCGUAUAACUUCUUAGAGGGAUAAGCGGUGUUUAGCCGCACGAGAUUGAGCGAUAACAGGUCUGUGAUGCCCUUAGAUGUCCGGGGCUGCACGCGUGCUACACUGGUGGAGUCAGCGGGUUUUUCCUAUGCCGAAAGGUAUCGGUAAACCGUUGAACUUCUUCCAUGUCCGGGAUAGGGUAUUGUAAUUAUUACCCUUAAACGAGGAAUGCCUAGUAAGUGUGAGUCAUCAGCUCACGUUGAUUACGUCCCUGCCCUUUGUACACCCCGCCCGUCGCUAUCCGGGACUGAACUGAUUCGAGAAGAGUGGGGACUGUGGCUGCGAGGUUUUACCACUUCGCAGUUGCGGAAACCAUUUUUUUCGCAUUGGUUUGAACCGGGUAAAAGUCGUAACAAGGUAGCUGUAGGUGAACCUGCAGCUGGAUCAUCG